UACGUAGGGAGCAAGCGUUGUCCGGAAUCAUUGGGCGUAAAGCGCGCGUAGGUGGCCAUGUAAGUCCGCUGUGAAAGUCAAAGGCUCAACCUUUGAAAGCCGGUGGAUACUGCACGGCUAGAGUACGGAAGAGGCGAGUGGAAUUCCUGGUGUAGCGGUGAAUGCGCAGAUAUCAGGAGAACACCAUGUCGGCGAAAGGCGGCUCACUGGGAC
rnacentral:rRNA from 1 species